ACACACACACACACACACACACACACACACACACACACACACACACUAAAAAUAAGCUUUAGAAGACCCACCUCAGGAAACCAAGCACAGAGGGAAAUGUGUAAAGGAGAGAGACCACUGGAGGAUAUAAACCUCGCACGAACACUUCAGGAAACCUAGUGGCUCUGGGAUCUGAAUCUCAAAGUGAGGUUCUCUGCAUGGGCAGCAAGCCCCUUCCAAUGCACCUCUACCUAGGAGGAGAGAGCCCACGGCUUCCGCACAUGGACAGUUCUCUCCUCAACCUCUUUCCUGGACAGAGCCUACCUACCUAGCAGGGGUUCUCUGAGGAAGCAGCCUGGCUGCAGGCCUCCUCAGGUGCCUGAGCUCCUGCCUAGUCAGGAGCACAGAGAUGAAUGGGACCCCAACCCCAAUCUAGGCAGGGGUGGCUUGGGAGCCCACUGACCCUGAAAGGAUUUGCCACCAUCCAUGUAUCAUCGCACUGACUCACCCCUUACCUUUCUACUUCCUCACUGAAUACAGUCAGUUGACUUACAACCGCAGUGUUUGGAGUUGUGUCCAGCAGCAAUUCCCAAGAGGAUUUUAUUACUUCAUCAGCACUCCAGACCCACAUUCAUGACAUACUUGUCUCCUUUGACAUCUGUGUGGAUGUAAUCCUGACUCGGACCAGGCCCACAGAUGGAGGGACACUUGGUCUCUGUCAUGAAUAAAAUUGUUCCUGAGACUGGACACGGACAUCAGAACCCGCCUGGCAUCCCAGAAUUGGCGACUCACUCCCCUACCCCACUCAGGUUGUGUUGGGAUGCACCCUGUGGUAUGGUGCCUUCAUCUCAAAAUCUCUGGCAAGUCUAAACUCGGGGAUGCCAGGAGACUAGGAGCUUGGGGUGCUGGUCCUCCUCUUCCUUUGCAUCCCCCACGAGGGCCUUUCCUCACCCACGCUGGAGCUUAGGAGCCAGUGUGGCUGUCUGUCUGCCUCCAGUACAGGAUUCCCAACUUCAGUUCCUCGGUUUGAGAACUGAGAGCAGGCAGGGAAGUAGCCUGUCCUCAAGUCCAAUUUUGACCUCUGGACACCCACUUCUCCCUGAGCCAGCCUUACCGGUGUCUACCCAACUGGACAUUAGCCCAGAGUCUCUGAGGUUCCGAGAACCCCGUGUCUGCUUGAGACAACCCGGAGCAUGGCACAGACCAUCUCUCUACUCCUAGUUUGCUUUAGCUGUCAACUUGACAGAGUCCAGAGUUGUCUGAGAGUCUUGGCUAGGGAGCUCUUUUGGUCAGGUUGGCCUGUGUGCAUUGUCUUGAUUGCUAAUACAUGUGUGAGAGCUCACUCCACUGUGAGCAGAACCACCCACAGGCACAUGGGCCUGGGCUUUAUAAAAAGCUAGCUAAGUAAGCAUGAGCCUAGGGGCAAGUCAGUAAAUGGCUUUCCUCCAUGCUUCCUGCUUCUGCUACUGCUUGAGUUUCUGCCCUGACUGCCCUCAGUCAUGGACAAUGACCUGGAAGUGCAAACC
rnacentral:lncRNA from 1 species